rnacentral:misc_RNA from 1 species
AUCRCUCGCCCCCCACCAUGCAUUCCUUAUAGGAUGAGCGGCUUUGGGGCGGAGAUUGGUCUCCCGUGCUUUGUGUGCGGUUGUCCUAAACAUAAGUCACCUUUGGUGGACGCACAACUAGUGGUGGUUGAAUAGACCCUCGUCUUUUGUUGUGCGUCGUAAGCCGUGAGGGAUGACUUUGAUGAAGACCCUAACGUGUCGUCCUUGGACGAUGCUUCGACC